rnacentral:lncRNA from 1 species
AGAGAGAUGAGAGAGACAUGGUCCCUUCUGAAGGGACUCACGAGCUAGGCAGAUAGGAAGCAAGUGCAUUGGACAGAACGUGAUGAGCUAGGAGCAAGGAGACCCUGGGGGGCCUCACAGAAUGUCAUGCACUAUCUGCCAGGAGCCCAGGGGACCAGUGCUGAUGAGCAGGUGGUGUACUGACAGUGUGUGUCUCUGGAUAGGUUGUUUCCCUCACAGAAGGUGGGAAUAGAUGACUUCCCAAGUCCCCGAGAGCCCUAUAACAAGGCAGAGAUUUUACUUUUAAACUGUCCUACUGUUUUCACGGAGUUCAGCAUUGUGUGGAGCAGUGUAUGAUUAUGUACCAGAAGCCCACACAUAAGGAGGGUAAAACUCAUGGUAGAGGUGGGGUUUAACUGACUUCUCUUCCAAGGAGCGAAGGUUUCAGUUGAGCCUCUUGCUGGCUGGGGCAGGGGUGGGACCAGCUCACUUCACACACAGCACAUAGCACACAGCAGGUAUGCAGAUCCAGACAGAGCCCUGGACCUGGAUUCUUCUGUCCAAGGCUGGUCCUGGUGGGAGUCAGUCCCACAGGGGUAGAGCCCCUGGUUAAAGGCUCCUUGUCCCCCUAAUUAGACCCAUUGCACACGCUAGUUCAGGGCUGGCCCUUCUGGGGAAUGUUACUUUGCAAAUGGGAUCUCGGUAGGGUAGGUCAAAAAGCCUCAUUAGGGAAUCCUUGAUAGUGCCUCUUCCCUGUCAGAAGUGUCUGUGUGGGACAUUGAAUUGGGUAGCUUCUGGCAUCCCUGGGAAGUGCUGAGGACUGAGGCAGAG